GCAGCAAGUAAAAAGAAAUAAUGGAAAUAAUAAUGUCAAGCAUUUGGAGUAAUAUCAAGAUGUAUCCAGUAAGCCUUGAAGAAAAAUCAAAAGAACUCAAGUAUCUAAUUGCCUAGUAUUAAAAUAGCUGAUGUUUUUUUUAAGAGAGAGUAAUAGUUCGUUGCUUAAGAGGUUGAGAAAUGUCCCUUAAUUGAAAAGAAUAGUAGUUUAUAUAGAAAAGGAGAUUGGAGGAUAAAAGGAAAAAAUAAUUUUUAACAAUCAAUCAUGAUCAAUUAAGGAGAGGAAAAUAUUUUAUUGAGAUUUGUCAAAUGAGAUUUUUCAUAAAUAAAGAAAUCUUAUGUAAUAUCAAAUUCAGUCAAAGCAACUAAGAAGGAAAAUAUCUGUCAAGUAAAAAUCAAACAUAUUCUUCCCGAAGUAAUUUAGCAUCGGUCUAAAUUAAUAAAAAAAAUAGAAAUAUCAAUCAAUAGGAUUCAAUCAACCAAUUAUUGACGAAUCAGUCCAAAAAAUAAAAGAAAACAUGUGUUAAGCAAAAUCAAUCAACAAUAAUUAAUUUUCUAAUGUAGAAUUUACUAGAGGCGAAUUUACCAUGAAUAUUAAUCCUAUUAUUUUGAGAGAGAUUCGCUCAAUCACCAAUCAAAUUUUUCCUAAAUUAGUGAAUAAACUAUUUCACCAAAAUUAAACCAUUAGUCCCUAAACGAAAAGGUCCAUAGUUAACGGAUUGACGUCAUAAUAGAGGGGUUAAAAUUUUCACCAAAGUCAAGCAAGUAAUCCCCCCUCAACAGAGCAAACUACCCAAAAUAUUACAACAAUACAAUAAUCACAAAACACAUGCACAUUUGCACAAACACAAGUCAAAGACAGUUUUAAAUGAACUAAAAAAGAAAUCAGAUACAAGAACAAAAGAUGGAUUGCAGAAGGUUAAGAGCUUAAAACAAGAAAUCAAACCUACUUCAUGAACUUUUUGGUGGAUUUUGCCCGAAAUAACGGCGAUGGUGGCUGGGUCUCACCGACUAUUUUUGUCGAUUGCAUGGCUGGUCGGCAAAGACAGGAAAGAGAGGACAGAGGGGGAUGACUCGCGACUUGGUGGAGGGGGUAGAUCUAUGGGACGGCGCUGGAGUGGUGGCUCCGAUCGGUAGCGGGAGGCUAGUCGUUACUGGCUGUGGCGAAGACGAACGACGAGACUCAGGAAAGGGGAUUGUCGUCUCUGGUCAUUGCUGGUUCGUCGGAGGAGGCACUAGCGACGAAGGGGGUCGGUGAUGCUUGGUCAUGGUUGGUAUCCGAUGUGGACGGUGUUCGACAGCCAUGGCUGCCUCCCAUUGAGUGAGAGAGAGAGAGAGAAUUUGAGGGAAAAGGAGGAAGAGAGAAAG
rnacentral:lncRNA from 1 species